AACGAACGCUGGCGGCAUGCCUUACACAUGCAAGUCGAACGGUAACAGGUUAAGCUGACGAGUGGCGAACGGGUGAGUAAUGUAUCGGAACGUGCCCAGUCGUGGGGGAUAACUACUCGAAAGAGUGGCUAAUACCGCAUACGACCUGAGGGUGAAAGCGGGGGACCGUAAGGCCUCGCGCGAUUGGAGCGGCCGAUAUCAGAUUAGCUAGUUGGUGGGGUAAAAGCCCACCAAGGCGACGAUCUGUAGCUGGUCUGAGAGGACGACCAGCCACACUGGGACUGAGACACGGCCCAGACUCCUACGGGAGGCAGCAGUGGGGAAUUUUGGACAAUGGACGCAAGUCUGAUCCGGCCAUGCCGCGUGCGGGAAGAAGGCCUUCGGGUUGUAAACCGCUUUUGUCAGGGAAGAAACGAGUUUCUCUAAUACAGAGACUUAAUGACGGUACCUGAAGAAUAAGCACCGGCUAACUACGUGCCAGCCGCCGCAGUAAUAC
rnacentral:rRNA from 1 species